rnacentral:rRNA from 1 species
UACGUAGGGGGCGAGCGUUGUCCGGAAUCAUUGGGCGUAAAGCGCGUGUAGGCGGUCCGGUAAGUCCGCUGUGAAAGUCCAGGGCUCAACCCUGGAAAGCCAGUGGAUACUGUCAAGCUAGAGUCCGGAAGAGGCGAGUGGAAUUCCUGGUGUAGCGGUGAAAUGCGCAGAUAUCAGGAGGAACACCAAUGGCGAAGGCAGCUCGCUGGGACGGUACUGACGCUGAGGUGCGAAAGCGUGGGGAGCAAACAGG